GGGUCCCUACGGGGGGCAGCAGUGGGGAAUAUUGGGCAAUGGGCGCAAGCCUGACCCAGCAACGCCGCGUGAAUGAAGAAGGCCUUCGGGUUGUAAAAUUCUGUUAUAAGGGAAGAAAGGUGAUAGGAGGAAAUGACUAUCAAUUGACGGUACCUUACGAGAAAGCCACGGCUAACUACGUGCCAGCAGCCGCGGUAAUACGUAGGUGGCAAGCGUUAUCCGGAAUUAUUGGGCGUAAAGAGCGCGCAGGCGGUUAAUUAAGUCUGAUGUGAAAGCCCACGGCUUAACCCUGGAGGGUCAUUGGG
rnacentral:rRNA from 1 species